UCUGCGCCUUGAGGCAGAGAAUCUGCGCUCAAUCCUCAUCCAACGCACAGCCACGAGUCGUCCUCCUCCGCCCUCGCCCUCUUCCUCCGCGUGGACGCACCUCCCUCUGCCCUCUUGCUCCAGCAGACUCUCCGACCCAUCCGACGGCUCGCUCUGCCCCUCCGCCGGCCGCCGAGGAGAGCCCAUCGGACGGCUAGCUCUGCCCCUCCGCCAGCCACCGGAAAUAGCCCGUACUCCGCGUCGUUGGGGGUUCCGUCGCUGGACGCCAUCAAUCUCGUCGGAUUAUUAGUUCAUUUGCCUUUAGUAAACUGAAACUGCUACUACGAUGUAAGUUGCUGCUCCUCCUUGCCUUGUUCCUGUGAGCUCCAGUACGCCCGUGAUGGUCGGAGUGGGUCGUCGGAGGGAGACAAAGGAGGAGGGAGGAGGGGGCCGUCGGGGCGGGCCGAGGAAGGCGCCGUAUGGGAGGCGGACGGAGCAGCCGGAGGUGGGCGGCCGUCAGCCCGUCGAAGUCGUCUCCUCCCGUGUGGACGCCGCCGGAGCUCACCAUGGAGGAGCAGCCGGACUGGAUCCCAUCCCUUCCUUGCGGCGCGGCGCGGCGACGUGAGCUGCAGCGCUGGCGUCGAUGGUUUCGUUGAGCCCGUGAGGAAAGAGGCAUGUCUGCUGUUGAAUCCCCUGAGUUUUGAUCGCUGUUAGCCGUUGGAUGAGGAUUGAGCGGCAGAUUCCCUGCCUCAAGGCGCUGCGUGCCUUGCCAAGGCACCCGAGCUCUGUGAAACUCUUACUUUGGGUGAUGCUUGCUUGUCGUAAAGUAAUCACAAGCAGUAGAGUUUGCACACAUGUGGCUAGGUUUCUUAUGUUUGUGGAGGUCAUAUUAGUUUAAAUUAUUUUAAGCAAUGUUAUCAGUUCGGCAGACAUGUUGAUAGCUACAUGUGUGAAUAUUUUGGGUGUCUAUUAUAAAUAAACUAUUUUUUUUGUCCCAGGAUUA